GCCUUCCAAGCAGUUGACCCGGGU
rnacentral:piRNA from 9 species